GGCUGCGGCUACCUCGGCGCCCGCUCCGCUCGGUAGGACGUGUCGGGCUACCCGGGUCGGGGGCGGCUCCCUUGCGCUCCGGAGCUGAGCUGCCUGGCUUUCGACGACUGCAGGCAGACCGCUGCCCUCCAGCAACGAUGGGUGUCGCUAGACCCAGCUGGGACUCGGCCAGGCCCCAGCACUCAGCCUAAGCAAAGGGCCCUCUUCCAGCCUCGCUCUCUCUGCCUGUCAUGGCCACACUCGGCUGCUGCCCGCUUGUCUGGGGACAUAGGGCACCCAGCCCCAGCCCUGAGAGCUUAAGCCAGGCGCUCUGGCUCCAUUCCACAGGGGCGCCCCGGGCACCAGGCCCCUUUCAGAGCAAGGGCAACUGAUGCCAUGGGAGAAGCCCCCGCCCACCUGUCCACUCGCCUGGCGCUGCCCGCUCUGAGACCCAUGCACUGGGUCCCCCUGGAGGCGCCAAUCCUGUGAACUCCUCCCCUGUCCCCCGACGCUGAGAAGGCCCUGCCCACCCCCACCAUGUGUGAGGUGAUGCCCACAAUCAAUGAGGGGGACCCCCUGGGGCCCCCCCACGGCGCCGACGCUGACGCCAACUUCGAGCAGCUGAUGGUGAACAUGCUGGAUGAGCGGGAGAAGUUGCUGGAGUCCCUUCGGGAGAGUCAGGAGACCUUGGUGGCCACGCAAAGCCGGCUCCAGGACGCCCUGCAUGAGCGGGACCAGCUCCAGCGCCACCUUAACUCCGCCCUCCCCCAGGAAUUUGCCACCUUAACCCGGGAGCUGAGCAUGUGUCGGGAACAGCUUCUAGAAAGGGAGGAAGAGAUAUCAGAGCUGAAAGCAGAGCGGAAUAACACAAGGUUGCUUCUGGAACAUCUGGAGUGCCUGGUGUCCCGCCAUGAGCGGUCGCUGCGGAUGACUGUGGUGAAGCGCCAGGCCCAGUCGCCUUCAGGGGUCUCCAGUGAGGUGGAGGUGCUGAAGGCCCUCAAGUCGCUGUUCGAACACCACAAGGCCCUGGAUGAGAAGGUGCGGGAGCGGCUCCGGGCGGCCCUGGAGCGAGUCACCACCUUGGAAGAGCAGCUCGCCGGGGCCCACCAGCAGGUGUCUGCCCUGCAGCAGGGGGCCGGGGUUCUGGAGGGAGUGGCAGAAGAGGAGGGGACUGUGGAGCUGGGAACAAAGCGCCUGUGGAAGGAUGACACGGGCCGGGUAGAGGAGCUGCAGGAGCUCCUGGAGAAGCAGAACUUUGAGUUGAGCCAGGCUCGGGAGCGACUGGUCACCCUGACGGCAACAGUGGCCGAGCUUGAGGAGGACCUGGGCACAGCCCGCCGGGACCUCAUCAAGUCGGAGGAACUGGGCAGCAAGCAUCAGCGGGACCUCCGGGAGGCUCUGGCUCAGAAGGAAGACAUGGAGGAGAGAAUCACAACACUAGAGAAGCGCUACCUGGCUGCGCAGCGCGAGGCCACGUCCAUCCAUGACCUCAAUGACAAACUGGAGAAUGAGCUGGCCAAUAAGGAGUCCCUGCACCGCCAGUGUGAGGAGAAGGCCCGGAACCUGCAGGAGCUGCUGGAGGUGGCAGAGCAGAAGCUGCAGCAGACGAUGCGCAAGGCCGAGACGCUGCCAGAGGUGGAGGCUGAGCUGGCUCAGAGGAUUGCAGCCCUCACCAAGGCUGAAGAAAGGCACGGCAGUAUUGAGGAGCACCUGCGGCAGCUGGAGGGGCAGCUGGAGGAGAAGAACCAGGAGCUGGCGAGGGUGCGCCAGCGGGAGAAGAUGAACGAGGACCACAACAAGCGGCUGUCAGACACCGUGGACCGGCUGCUCAGCGAGUCCAACGAGCGCCUGCAGCUGCACCUCAAGGAGCGAAUGGCCGCCCUGGAGGAGAAGAACACGUUGAUCCAGGAGCUGGAGAGCUCCCAGCGGCAGAUCGAGGAGCAGCACCAUCACAAGGGCCGCCUGUCUGAAGAGAUUGAGAAGCUGCGCCAAGAGGUGGACCAGCUGAAGGGUCGAGGGGGGCCGUUUGUGGAUGGCGUCCACUCCAGGUCGCACAUGGGCAGCGCAGCGGAUGUGCGGUUCUCCCUGAGUGCAGCCACCCACGCGCCCUCAAGCCUGCACCGCCGCUACUCAGCGCUGCGGGAGGAGUCUGCCAAGGACUGGGAGCCCUCUCCACUGCCUGGGGUGCUGGCCCCCACAGCCGCCCCUGCCUUUGACAGUGACCCCGAGAUCUCCGACGUGGAUGAGGAUGAGCCAGGGGGUCUGGUGGGCUCCGUGGAUGUUGUCUCCCCCAGUGGCCACUCGGAUGCCCAGACCCUGGCCAUGAUGCUGCAGGAGCAGCUGGAUGCCAUCAAUGAGGAGAUCAGGAUGAUCCAGGAAGAGAAGGAGUCCACGGAGCUGCGUGCCGAGGAGAUUGAGACUCGAGUGACCAGCGGCAGCAUGGAGGCCCUCAACCUGACCCAGCUGCGGAAACGCGGCUCCAUUCCCACCUCUCUGACUGCCUUGUCCCUGGCUAGUGCGUCCCCCCCGCUCAGCGGCCGCUCCACGCCUAAGCUUACCUCCCGCAGUGCUGCCCAGGACCUGGACCGCAUGGGGGUCAUGACCCUGCCCAGUGACUUAAGAAAGCAUAGGAGGAAACUGCUGUCGCCAGUGUCUCGGGAAGAGAACCGAGAGGAUAAAGCCACCAUAAAAUGUGAGACUUCUCCUCCUUCCUCACCCAGGACGCUGCGGCUAGAGAAGCUUGGCCAUCCAGCCCUGAGCCAGGAAGAAGGCAAAAGUGCUCUGGAGGAUCCGGGCAGCAACCCAAGCAGCAGCGACGGCAGCCAGGACUCCUUGCACAAGGGCGCCAAGCGCAAGGGCAUCAAGUCGUCCAUUGGCCGCCUGUUCGGGAAGAAGGAGAAGGGCCGGCUAAUCCAGCUGAGCCGGGAUGGAGCCACGGGCCAUGUUCUGCUGACAGACUCCGAGCUUGGUCUGCAGGAGCCCAUGGUGCCUGCCAAGCUGGGGACCCAGGCAGAGAAGGACCGGCGUCUGAAGAAGAAACACCAGCUGCUUGAAGACGCCCGCAGAAAAGGAAUGCCUUUUGCCCAGUGGGAUGGCCCUACUGUGGUCUCCUGGCUGGAGCUCUGGGUGGGGAUGCCUGCUUGGUAUGUGGCAGCCUGCCGGGCCAACGUCAAGAGUGGUGCCAUCAUGUCGGCCCUGUCGGACACGGAGAUCCAGCGUGAGAUUGGCAUCAGCAACGCCCUGCACCGGCUCAAGCUCCGGCUAGCCAUCCAGGAGAUGGUGUCGCUGACCAGCCCCUCUGCCCCACCCACCUCCAGGACUUCUUCCGGGAAUGUCUGGGUCACCCAUGAAGAGAUGGAAACUCUGGCAACACCCACUAAAACAGACAGUGAGGAGGGCAGCUGGGCUCAGACCCUGGCCUAUGGGGACAUGAACCACGAGUGGAUUGGGAACGAAUGGCUCCCCAGCCUGGGGCUCCCCCAGUACCGCAGCUACUUCAUGGAGUGCCUGGUGGACGCGCGCAUGCUGGACCACCUCACCAAGAAGGACCUGCGAGUCCACCUGAAGAUGGUGGACAGCUUCCACCGAACCAGUCUUCAGUAUGGCAUCAUGUGUCUGAAGAGACUGAAUUAUGACCGCAAGGAGCUGGAGAAAAGACGGGAGGAAAGCCAGCACGAGAUCAAGGAUGUGCUCGUCUGGACCAACGACCAGGUGGUUCACUGGGUCCAGUCCAUUGGGCUGCGGGAUUACGCAGGAAACCUGCAGGAGAGCGGCGUGCACGGGGCCCUGCUGGCCCUGGAUGAGAACUUUGACCACAACACGCUGGCCCUGGUCCUCCAGAUCCCCACGCAGAAUACCCAGGCACGCCAGGUGAUGGAAAGAGAGUUCAACAACCUGUUGGCCUUGGGCACAGACCGGAAGCUGGAUGAUGGCGAGGACAAGGUGUUCCGGCGCGCGCCGUCCUGGAGGAAGCGCUUCCGGCCGCGGGACCCGCACGGCGGCCUGCUCGGCGCCUCGGCGGAGACGCUCCCGGCCGCCUUCCGCGUGGCCAGCCUGGGGCCGCUGCAGCCCCCGCCCGCGCCGCCCAAGAAGAUCACGCCGGAGGCCGGGACGGCGGGGGCGCCGAGACUGGAGCCCUCCACGGUUCGGACCUACUCCUGCUGAACCCCUCCCCUCCCGCCCCGGCCCUCGCGGUGGUGUGCCCGUGGCGCGGGCUCGCUCCCACUAUCUCUACGGACACAUGCUCUCCGCCUUUCGGGACUAGCCACGGCUCCCAGGGCCAGCGUCCUCCAGCUGGGCUUCACAGGCUCAGCUGGCCCCGGCCCCUCCUGCUCGUCCCCCGUCCUCUCACGGCUCCUAGUCUCGUCGGUGACUUUCCAGUUGCCCUGGAUCUCAGAAUAUACUCGUGCACCCCCUCGGCACCCCACUACCCUGAGUCCCACCGUGUGCCCUUUGUGAGUCUCUUGUGGCUGUGGCUGGGUGUCCACGUUGUCCGUGCUUGGGAUUCUGGAGAAGGGACAGGACAGCAGCAGCCCAGGGCCGGGUGUGACUGCACCCUCCUUCUUCUGGACCUAGCCUGGUCUGGACUGUGACCUCCACCAGAGUCCGGCACAUGGUGCCAAGGGCUGGGGCUGGGACCUUCCAAGAAAAUGGCACUUCAGACUCUGCCUUGCGCAGGCUCUUGGGCCUUCCGGUCCCUGUGCACAUCCCAGGUGUCUGACAUCUGGUUCCGGCACUCCCAGCAUCACCCCUUUCCCACCUCAUCUCCACAAGGGCAGCUCCUGUCUCCAGGACCUCCUUGGGGGCAGGGAGGGGGCUGCAGAAGGCCCCGUUCUCUCUCAGGAUGGUGAGGCUGGGGGAGGAGGAAGGCUAAGGUGGUGAUUCCAGGCCCUUGCUCAAGAUGAAUCCCAAACGUGAGUUGGGGAAAAAUCUGAGAACAAUGGGCCCCAGAGCUUUGAGCCAAGGUUAAGGAUGGGGAAACUCUCAACCCUCCCGCCCAGUGAGAGGUGCAGGCCGGCCAGCUAGAGGGAGAGCCAAUGGCCUGUGUUAGUCUUAAGCUCCAAAGGCAGGGGGAAUGCGUCCUGUCCUGCCCCAGCCAUAAGGUGUAAGGUAGAGCUGCUGUUGGGGCAGGGCUGGGGGGUCGCGUGGGGUCUUGGCUCCGGGGCAGAGGAGAGCUAUCCAUGCACUGCGCACUCUGCUCCCAGUAUUCCUUCCCUGCUGUCCUCCUCUGCCCCACCUCUUUAGUAAUCCAGCCCCUAAGAAUAUACAUAAUGGGUGGAUUGAAGAGACAUUGACCUCCAAAUCAGAUUUGGGAAAUGGUAGUGUGAGGCUCUCUUCCCCUGAUCUCUUGGGAAGAAAAUAAAGCUUCCCCUUCCGUGAGUCUUAUCCCAGGUCCCGAAAUCCAAUGUUGGUGAAGGCCCUCACUCUCCUGCUUGCCCUUGAAUCACCCACCCCUUGUUCAGGGCUCUUUUGGUGUGCAGGGACUGCCGCCUCCAGAAAUUCCGGAGGACCCCCCCCACCCCUGCCGCCCCAGCCUCCAUCAUUUUAAUUGCUUUCCUCAGCUGCUUGGUGGCAACCGGGGCUUAGGGUUAGAGGUCCCGGUUUUGUCGGAAUGUCAUUCCCAAGAAACCCCUCCUCCUUAGCCACUUCCUCAUCCUGCCAAAAUGCCUGGAAGUGUUUGGGACCCAAGUUCAGGGUGAGGUGAUGGACUCCAGUGAGAGGAAAGGAAGAGUAUCUGGAGCAGGUUUCCUGGAGAAGCGCCAGUGCUGAGCCAUCCUACAGGUGGCUGAGCAGCUGGUUGGCAACCUGAUCGACUUGGGUUCUGUGCAGGGGCUCGGCUAGCAGGUGGGAUAGUGGGUCAGAGCACCCUGGCCAGAAGGAGCGAUGGAGCGAUGCCAGGGCUUGGAGCCUUCUGCUGUUUUUCAGUAGAGAAGAGGUCCACCCGUGGUGGGGCUGAGUGGGCUCCCCAGGUGUGGGCAUGGCAGUCAGCUGCUCUGAUUCUCUCUCAGUGUUCCUUGCCCUCCCUGCCCGGCAGGCUGCUGCGAACGGAGCUGGAGGCGUUCUUGAGCAGCAGAUGAGUUGGAUGGAGAGAAAAGGCCCCUAUCCCUGGGUAAUGGAUGUUAGGAUUAUGGAGAAACCCCUAAGAUUGGUGGAGUUGGGGACCACCAGGCCCUCUGUCUGCAUCAGGGGACUUUUGAUGGACUAGCCAAGUGGAAGAUUCAGCCCCAGCUUCUCCUCCACAACUUCACCCUGUCAUGGUUGGCCAUGUACCUGGGUCUGUUCAGGGCAUCCUGGGGAGUAUUGCGGGGAGGUGACGGGCAAGAGAACUCGUGCAUACAGUGGUGGAAGGCUUUUAUCCUGGUGUCUCCCUUGCCUCACAGUCAGUGUAGUUUUGGAGAAUCGCCAGUGCCCCGAACCCCCCUCACCAGCGUCCUGUAUCUUGUCGGUUCCCUUCUCAGUACUGUACUGGCUCAGUGCAUCAGGAAUGGGUGUGUGGUUGUGGAUGAGUGUGAGUGUGGGUGUGUAUGUAUCAAUAAACAACCUGGUUUUAA